CUCUAUGAAUGCCACAGGCCUCUCACCCCUUAGUCCAGAUUUAGACCUCAGUCUUUCCCAGACAUUCAGACCCAGCUGUCUGAAGCUGCCUGCUGGUGCGCCGAUUGCCUAGUCUCCCUUGCCCUUUGUGUCCAAGUCCUACUACUUCCCCUCCUUUCCUCCUCUGUCCUUCUUCACAAUGCCUGGACUCUUUCAUCACUUCUUUAUCUGACACUGUUAGCAGAUCUUCACAGAUGUUUCAGGUGGUCAGCGUGUCGAAGUGUUGUAGUCUUCUGUUUUGAUGCCCAGGUGUUGGCUGGUAGGUCUGGUUCCACAGAGGUAGACGUCCUGCUCCUCUUCCCCAGCCAUGGAGCCUCCUCCGGAGGUCCCGAUAUUUGAGAUGGACCACAAAGAGAGUGAGGAGGAAGAUGUUCUUUCAAUGAGGAGCAGAGGUAGCUGUGCAUAUGCAACACAUGCUCUUGCGCCCACUGACGUCACAGACCCUGACACGUUCAUAUACAUGAACUUCAUGAAGAGUCACUGCUGCUACGAUGCCAUCCCCACCAGCUCCAAACUGGUGAUCUUUGACACAACGCUACAGGUGAAGAAGGCUUUCUUUGCUCUGGUGGCUAAUGGUGUGAGGGCGGCGCCGCUGUGGGACAGCAAGCUUCAGUGUUUUGUGGGUAUGCUGACCAUCACUGACUUCAUCAACAUUCUCCAUCGUUACUACAAGUCUCCUCUGGUUCAGAUCUAUGAGCUGGAAGAACACAAGAUAGAAACAUGGAGAGAGAUCUACUUACAGUACUCUAUUAACAGACUGAUCAGCAUCACUCCUGACUCCAGUCUUUUUGAGGCCAUCUACUCCCUGUUGAAGAAUAAGAUCCACCGGCUGCCGGUCAUCGACCCUGAAUCAGGAAACGUCCUCCACAUCCUCACUCACAAGCGCAUCCUCAAGUUCCUCCACAUCUUUGGAUCCAUGAUUCCUAAACCCAGGUUUCUUCAAAAGCGGAUCAAUGAAGUGGCGAUCGGUACCUUUAAAGAGAUUGCGACAGUCCAGGAAUCAGCCUCUGUGUAUGACGCUCUGACCAUUUUUGUAGAGAGAAGAGUUUCAGCUCUGCCCGUGGUCAAUAAGCAAGGUAAAGUGGUGGCGCUGUACUCCAGGUUUGAUGUCAUUAACCUCGCAGCCCAGAAAAACUACAACAACCUGAACAUGACAAUGCGAGAGGCCGUUACCUCCAGAGCCUGCUGGGUGGAGGGAGUCCUCAAGUGUUACCCUCAUGAAACACUGGAGACCAUCAUUGACCGCAUUGCGAAGGCUGAGGUGCAUCGCUUGGUGUUGGUUGACAGAGACGAUGUGGUGAGAGGGAUUGUUUCUUUAUCUGACCUCCUACAAGCUCUGGUCCUCACUCCUGCAGCCAAGCAAACCUUCUAAAACCUCGUCUGAGCUGCCCACCAAUCAGCAGUUCGCCUCAACAUCUACGUUCUACGAAGUCCAACACCAACCCUCCACACUUUAUCCCAAACAUACCUCUUUCAUCAGUCAGCCAGCAUCUUCAUACUGCAGUUCCUCCUCUGAAACCACCAUGCCGCCAGCACCUCUUAUCCAUCACGACACAGAUAUUUAUGAGAGAUCAUCCUUUCAAGACGGAAGAAAACAAGAUAGAGACUGAUCACGUAAAACAAGAUUAUUAGUCAGCAGAGCAGGAUAGUGGCCAAGAAGUCACUGGUUUCUGUCCCAGUCGAGAGAAAAAAUAUGGGAAGGAAAAGUGAAAGCUGAAAAACUUUGACCCUCCUCUAUGAGCUCCAAGAAUUUGUUUUUUUAUGGAGCACUCUAUUCCCAAGUGAAGCUGCUCAGUGGUCACCAAUGGAAGAGGCUGUGCUGGAAAGCUGCCAGUGUUGAACUGUAUCGUAGGUGUGUUUGCAAAACAGCGGCAAACUGAUGAUGACUUUUAAACUGACCUUGACUAAAGAAUUGAAUUUUGAGGUUUUUUGCAAUCUUGAAAAAUUGACUCGCCGAUACGACAUGAUUUAAAAAAAGUGAUGUCAUGUUUAAUGAUUUGUACUCAACUUUGUGGUCUUAGAUUACUACAAAUUAGUCAUUCAUAUAUAGAAGAUACUGAAUCGUGGAAUUCAGAUGAAAUUUUUGUAAAUGCACUUAUGCUGCACUCACUGUGAAAAAAAUAAAUGUUUUGCUCUGUUUUCAGUCA